AUUUUUUAUUCUCUCUCUCUUCCACGAAGAGGGAAAAGUCCCUGCGUAUUUGACUUUAGAAACUUCGACGUGUUAACAAGUGGUCAACCAGUUCUCAGUAACUUUACGAGUUUUUUUUUUUUUUUUUUGUUCUUUUUUCGCUUUCUCUCUCCAUUUUUUUCAAGGCUUUGCUUUGUUUGAUCGAUCGACACUGCAAAAGCGAAAGAGACUAUCAUCAGCAGCUGUCGCUAGCAACAGUGUUGGAUCAGAGAUGAGAUUGACAGAGAAAAGUACCCGUGGGUUCGAUUUUGUUCCUUCAUCUUUGCCAAAUCUUUGUCACUCAGUGCUGGAGAUGAUCAUUUAGCACAGCAUUAGCAACAGUAGUGUUCUUCAGCUUUCACUUUUGCUUUGAUCUUCUAAAGGCAAAAAGCCAAAGCAAGAGGACGUACGUACCUUACCUCCAACGCGCAAAUGGAACGAGUCAGUCAGUCUUCGUCGGAUUCGCUGCUGCGCACAAGACUUCCGCGUUAGAAUCAUAGAAACAAAACAAAGGAGAAGAACAACAAAGAAAACGCAAACCUUCCAAGCAAGUCGGCCAUUCUCAUGUUUCUUCUCUGCAGGAUUCGCAUUGCCGGGGGCACUGUGUCCUUGACGCUGGCCGACGCUUCGGAGAUGGACUCCACUUGUGUGCUCGGGCUCUGGGACUCGCUCCGAGACAAGUUGUUUGCCUUUUUGUGGUGCUUGCUGAAAAGCUUUGCCUCGUUUCGGAUGGAGCUCAUUAACGAGGAUGUGGGAAUGUGGAUGAGAGGAUCCUCGUGACGUUGAUCCUUGCUCGUUGAUUCUCGUGGAGUCGGAGCUACCAGGAGUUUUACGUGUUAUUUGAGAUUGUAAAAAUGAAAGAAGAAAAAGAAGAAAAGCACGCUCACAUUCUCGAAGCCAUCCACGAACAGCAGCAACGGUUCGUUGUAUGUGUUGCGGGCUUGUGUAGAUGACAACAUCCUUUCUCUGAGCUUCAACUACAAAGAUCAAAACGAAGCUUUAGAAUGGAACGAGGAAGAGAAGAAAUAAUCGAAAACUUACCAUUGUGAACAUCCGAAGAGCAGCCAUUGAUGGUAUGACUGCCAAAAUGAAAAACUCUCAGCUUGUUGAAAAUGCGUUCUUCCAUCAAGAAACGAUCGCCUUACCUCUUUGUUUGGCCGAUGUUUCGACUGGACGCAUUUGACUUCCUUAGAUUUGGCGAGCUUGUCGACGCUUGAGUCCCUGGCAAAUCCUUCAACAGCAACGCCUUAGAAUUUGCUUUUCCUUUUACCAGAGAGAUUAUCAGCCUGGUUAGAGGAUCAAACCGGACGCUAGAGGUGUACCUCUCCUCGUAGCGAUGCAAGGCUCCUUUGAAACUCCUCCAUCAGAACAGUGAAACGCUUCUCCAUGUCUAACGCUGUCCCUUUAGAUUCCUGGACAAAAAAAGAAGAAAAAAGAAAAAUCACAUCACGCACAGAGCUUCCUCUUUGAAACUUACAGCCUCGAGCUUCUUUGCUGCGUGAACUUCCUCUGUGAGCUUUUCCAAAUCGUUCCUCAUCUUAGAAACCUCUGAAGACAAGAACAAAAAAACGUGUGGGAAAAAAACUUUCGAUCGAGCUCUCAAAACUUCCAAUCGGUCGUUACCAAGCUUUAGAUCAUUGAGGGCGCUUUGCGUCGCGGUGCUGAGCUUCUUAAUCGGAUCAUUCUCUACUUCCGAGCACCCUGGGAUCGCAUUUUCUCGCCUAAGAUGAAUGAAUAAAAUAUCGCCACUCACCGGAGAGAGUAGGGGAGGCGCGCUUGCUGCCUAAAAUCUUCUGCAGCCUGCGAAUGCGCGUCUCGUCGGCCUUCCUUUCGCCAUUGCCUUCGAUACCCAUGACAGUUUGAGCCGUUAAGAACCCUAGAAUUUGAGCUAACCGAAAAAACUAUACUUUCCCCUUUGUACAAAACCUUUAAAAACUUACAAAGAUCAUCAAAGCUAUAUACUAUUGCUUGUCUUUGG
rnacentral:lncRNA from 1 species